GCAUAUCAAUAAGGCGGGAGAAA
rnacentral:rRNA from 1 species